AUUGAACGCUAGCGGGAUGCCUUACACAUGCAAGUCGAACGGCAGCGCGGACUUCGGUCUGGCGGCGAGUGGCGAACGGGUGAGUAAUGUAUCGGAACGUGCCCAGUAGCGGGGGAUAACUACUCGAAAGAGUAGCUAAUACCGCAUACGCACUACGGGGGAAAGGGGGGGAUCGCAAGACCUCUCACUAUUGGAGCGGCCGAUAUCGGAUUAGCUAGUUGGUGAGGUAAAGGCUCACCAAGGAGACGAUCCGUAGCUGGUUUGAGAGGACGACCAGCAACACUGGGACUGAGACACGGCCCAGACUACUACGGGAGGCAGCAGUGGGGAAUUUUGGACAAUGGGGGCAACCCUGAUCCAGCCGUUCCGCGUGUGCGAUGAAGGCCUUCGGGUUGUAAAGCACUUUUGGCAGGAAAGAAAUCGCACGGAUUAAUACUCUGUGUGGAUGACGGUACCUGCAGAAUAAGCACCGGCUAACUACGUGCCAGCAGCCGCGGUAA
rnacentral:rRNA from 1 species